AGUCCCAGCACCAGGCCAGCCAGAGUCCCCCUGAGUCCACCCCGGGGAGCCCCACGAUCCCGUUAGGAAACAACGGAGGAUGGGGCUGGGAGCCCCAAGCCGGGCUCCGAAUGCUUGGCCCGGCGCUCCUCUAGCCUGGCUGGCCUGCCAGCUCUUCCCAGGACCCUGCCUGAGAGUCACCCACCUGCCCGGCCUUUCGGGGCUCAUCUAAAAGGCUCCUCCGCCAAGACUAGGGGACACCAGGAAUUGGGUUUGUUUGCGGUGCCUCUGAAGGGGCAAGAUGGCGACAGGUAACAGGGCGCAGGCGCAGCCGCGCGCGGCCAGUCGGGAGGUGUAGUUCGCUUUUCCCGCCUUCUCCCAGCCAAUCGGCUGCGCUCUCUGCUACGUGUGGCGUCACACGUAGCGGCCAAGAUGGC
rnacentral:lncRNA from 1 species